AGAGUUUGAUCCUGGCUCAGGACGAACGCUGGUGGCGUGCCUAACACAUGCAAGUCAACUUGACGGAAGGAGCAAUCUGACCGUAGAGUGGCGCAAGGGUGCGUAACGCGUAAGUAACUUGCCCCAAGGUAAGGAAUAACGUCGAGAAAUCGGCGCUAAUACCUCAUAAUGCAGCGGAUCCGCAUGGAUAUGUUGUUAAAGGUUUACCGCCUUGGGAUAGGCUUGCGUCUGAUUAGCUAGUUGGUGUGGUAACGGCACACCAAGGCUACGAUCAGUAACUGGUCUGAGAGGAUGAUCAGUCACACUGGAACUGAGACACGGUCCAGACUCCUACGGGAGGCAGCAGUGAGGAAUAUUGGGCAAUGCUCGAAAGAGUGACCCAGCAACGCCGCGUGGAGGAUGAAGGUAUUCUAUAUCGUAAACUCCUGUGAGAGCAGACGAAAGACAGAUUAUUAAUCUGGAUGACUGUAUGCUCAGAGGAAGCCCCGGCUAACUACGUGCCGGCAGCCGCGGUAAUACGUAGGGGGCAAGCGUUGUCCGGAUUCACUGGGUGUAAAGGGCGCGUAGGCGGGAUAGCAAGUCAGUGGUGAAAUCUUGCAGCUCAACUGCAAAACUGCCAUUGAUACUGCUGUUCUUGAAUGUGGAAGAGAGAGGCGGAAUUCCAGGUGUAGUAGUGAAAUACGUAGAUAUCUGGAAGAACACCAAUUGCGAAGGCUGCUUCUUGGUCCAUUAUUGACGCUGAGGCGCGAAAGCGUGGGGAGCAAACAGGAUUAGAUACCCUGGUAGUCCACGCUGUAAACGAUGAGUGCUAGAUGCCGGAUUUUUUCGGUGUCGCAGCUAACGCAUUAAGCACUCCACCUGGGAAGUACGAUCGCAAGGUUGAAACUCAAAGGAAUUGACGGGGGCCCGCACAAGCAGUGGAGCAUGUGGUUUAUUUCGAUGCAACGCGAAGACCUUACCUAGGCUUGAAAAGCUUAUGACCGGCCGUGAAAGCAGCUUUCCCGCAAGGGCAUAGUACAGUGCUGCAUGGCUGUCGUCAGCUCGUGCCGUGAGGGCUGGGUAGGUCCCGCACGAGCGCAACCCUUACAUUUAGUUGCACUGGAAGCAAUCGAGCACUCUAUGACUGCCCUACGUCAGUAGUGAGACGGUAGGAUGACGUCAUGCCCGCCAUGACCUUUACGCCUAUGGCCUACACAUCCGGUGUCCUACACAAUGC
rnacentral:rRNA from 1 species